ACAACAAUCGGACCAUCGAUCUAUCGCGCGAUUACACCCGCUCGGUUGAAGAUCUUUCCUUUGUCGU
rnacentral:pre_miRNA from 1 species